rnacentral:rRNA from 1 species
ACGGGAGGCAGCAGUGAGGAAUAUUGGUCAAUGGGCGCGAGCCUGAACCAGCCAAGUAGCGUGAGGGAUGACUGCCCUAUGGGUUGUAAACCUCUUUUGUUUGGGAAUAAAGUGAGGUACGUGUACCUUUUUGUAUGUACCAUUCGAAUAAGCAUCGGCUAAUUCCGUGCCAGCAGCCGCGGUAAUACGGAAGAUGCGAGCGUUAUCCGGAUUUAUUGGGUUUAAAGGGAGCGUAGGCGGGCUGUUAAGUCAGCGGUCAAAUAUCAGGGCCCAACCUUGGCAUGCCGUUGAUACAGGCGGCCUUGAAUGCACGCAAGGUAAGUGGAAUUCGUCGUGUAGCGGUGAAAUGCUUAGAUAUGACGAAGAACUCCGAUUGCGAAGGCAGCUUACUGGAGUGCGAUUGACGCUGAGGCUCGAAAGUGCGGGAAUCAAACAGGAUUAGAUACCCUGGUA